CAAUUGACAUGACCUCUUCAUUUUGACUAAUGUGAUUUAUUUAUCCUUUGCCAUGGGUCACAGGGGAUAACAUCAGAAGUCAAUACAUUGACCACAGGGAGCACGAAAACCGAUAGUCCACAGUGAGAGAAUAUUCAGGUGAAAGGACUUGGAGGGAGAAGGUUAGUGCUGGCAGCUGCCCAACAGAAAACAAUACAUGGAACGAUUUUUGAAACUGUACUCCUACCCAUGAUGCAAAACAUCAGUCAGCCAAACGAAGUGUUUAGUUUGGAGUGGAGAGUAAUUCAAAAUGAGACAGUAAGAUCCAUCCUCAUAUUUUCACCCAGUUCCCCCAUCCCAUAUAUCUCAGAUUCUUUUAAAAACCGAGUGAAUUUCUCCCACUCCAAAUUGGAGUUAUUGCUGAAAAAUAUCCAGCUGAGUGAUGAAGGAAUAUAUGAACUCGAAGCAACAACAUCAGAUGGAAAAUCUACAAAAUACUCUGUCAUGUUAACAGUUAAUGUUGCUGUCUCUAUUCCACACAUUGAGAUCUUUCCUAAGGUUCCUCAGGUGGGAGACAAUGUCACUCUGCAAUGCUCCAUCCUGGAGGGGAACCUGGUUCAUUACAGCUGGUACAGAUGUGAGCAAUCUCUGUCUGAUGGUAAAAACUAUCGUAUGUCCAAGAACAAUCGCUCCUUGACUCUGCUGAACUUGCAGGAAAGUGAUGUUGGCACUUACAGAUGCCAGGCCAGGAACCAC